ACAAGCGGUGGAGCAUGUGGUUAAUUCGAUGAUACGCGAGGAACCUUACCUGGGCUCAAAUGUAUGUUGACGUAUUCUGAAAGGGAUACUUCUUCGGACAAUAUACAAGGUGCUGCAUGGUUGUCGUCAGCUCGUGCCGUGAGGUGUCGGGUUAAGUCCCAUAACGAGCGCAACCCCUAUCAUUAGUUGCCAUCAGGUCAAGCUGGGGACUCUAAUGAAACUGCCUACGCAAGUAGUGAGGAAGGUGGGGAUGACGUCAAAUCAGCACGGCCCUUACGUCCAGGGCUACACACGUGCUACAAUGGCCGGUACAAAGGGCAGCUACCUGGUGACAGGAUGCUAAUCUCAAAAGCCGGUCUCAGUUCGGAUCGGAGUCUGCAACCCGACUCCGUGAAGCUGGAAUCGCUAGUAAUCGUGGAUCAGCAUGCCACGGUGAAUACGUUCCCGGGCCUU
rnacentral:rRNA from 1 species